rnacentral:rRNA from 1 species
GACGAACGCUGGCGGCGUGCUUAACACAUGCAAGUCGAACGCGCCUGUCCUCUGGGUUUCUGGGGGGUGGGUGAGUGGCGAACGGGUGAGUAACACGUGAGUAACCUGCCCCCUUCUUCGGGAUAACGGUCUGAAAGGGCUGCUAAUACCGGGUAUUCACUGGUCUCCGCAUGGGGUCUGGUGGAAAGGUUUUUUUCUGGUGGGGGAUGGGCUAGCGGCCUAUCAGCUUGGUGGUGGGGUGAUGGCCCACCAAGGCUUGGACGGGUAGCCGGCCUGAGAGGGUGACCGGUCACAUUGGGACUGAGAUACGGCCCAGACUCGUACGGGAGGCAGCAGUGGGGAAUAUUGCACAAUGGGCGCAAGCCUGAUGCAGCGACGCCGCGUGAGGGAUGGAGGCCUUCGGGUUGUGAACCUCUUUCGCCCGUGGUCAAGCCGCGACGUGGGUCGUGGUGAGGGUAGUGGGUAAAGAAGCGCCGGCUAACUACGUG